rnacentral:rRNA from 1 species
CAGCCGCCACGGUAAUACGAAGGGGGCUAGCGUUGCUCGGAAUGACUGGGCGUAAAGGGCGCGUAGGCGGAUAGUACAGUCGGGUGUGAAAUUCCUGGGCUCAACCUGGGGGCUGCACCCGAGACGUGCUGUCUAGAGUGUGGAAGAGGGUCGUGGAAUUCCCAGUGUAGAGGUGAAAUUCGUAGAUAUUGGGAAGAACGCCGAUGGCGAAGGCAGCCACCUGGUCCACUUCUGACGCUGAGGCGCGAAAGCGUGGGAGCAAACAGGAUUAGAUACCCGCGUAGUCCCUGUCUCUUAUACA